AUUGAACGCCGGCGGCAUGCCUUACACAUGCAAGUCGAACGGUAACAGGUCUUCGGAUGCUGACGAGUGGCGAGCGGGUGAGUAAUACAUCGGAACGUGCCUAGUAGUGGGGGAUAACUACUCGAAAGAGUGGCUAAUACCGCAUGAGAUCUACGGAUGAAAGCAGGGGAUCGCAAGACCUUGUGCUACUAGAGCGGCCGAUGGCAGAUUAGGUAGUUGGUGGGAUAAAAGCUUACCAAGCCGAAGAUCCGUAGCUGGUCUGAGAGGACGAUCAGCCACACUGGGACUGAGAAACGGCCCAGACUCCUACGGGAGGCAGCAGUGGGGAAUUUUGGACAAUGGGCGAAAGCCUGAUCCAGCAAUGCCGCGUGCAGGAUGAAGGCCUUCGGGUUGUAAACUGCUUUUGUACGGAACGAAAAGCCCCGGGUUAAUACCCUGGGGUCAUGACGGUACCGUAAGAAUAAGCACCGGCUAACUACGUGCCAGCAGCCGCCGUAA
rnacentral:rRNA from 1 species